GGGGAUAGCACGGGAAACUGUGGGUAAUACCCGAUGAUCUCUGCGAGCAAAGGUGUGAUUCGCCCUGAGGAGGGCUUACGUGAUAUUAGCUUGAUGGUGGGGUAAUGGCCUACCAUGGCGACGAUGUUCAGGGGGUGUGAGAACCUGGCCCCCACGACCGGAACUGAGAUACUGUCCGGACACCUACGGGUGGCUGCAGUCGAGAAUCUUCCGCAAUGGGCGAAAGGCUGACGGACGGACCCGCGUGCGGGAUGAAGGCCCUUGGGUUGUAAACCGCUGUCAGAGGGGUGAAAUCAUGGUUGGCUAUCCUUCCAUGUUGAAGAGCCUAAAGGAAGCACGG
rnacentral:rRNA from 1 species